rnacentral:rRNA from 1 species
GACGAACGCUGGCGGCGUGCUUAACACAUGCAAGUCGAACGGUAAGGCCCUUCGGGGUACACGAGUGGCGAACGGGUGAGUAACACGUGGGUGAUCUGCCCUGCACUUCGGGAUAAGCCUGGGAAACUGGGUCUAAUACCGGAUAGGACCCUGGGAUGCAUGUCCUGGGGUGGCAAGCUUUUGCGGUGUGGGAUGGGCCCGCGGCCUAUCAGCUUGUAGGUGGGGUGAUGGCCUACCAAGGCGACGACGGGGAGCCGGCCUGAGAGGGUGACCGGCCACACUGGGACUGAGAUACGGCCCAGACUCCUACGGGAGGCAGCAGUGGGGAAUAUUGCACAAUGGGCGCAAGCCUGAUGCAGCGACGCCGCGUGAGGGAUGACGGCCUUCGGGUUGUAAACCUCUUUCAGCACCGACGAAGCGCAAGUGACGGUAGGUGCAGAAGAAGGACCGGCCAACUACGUGCCAGCCGCCGCCGUAA